rnacentral:sRNA from 1 species
GAGAGAGAGAGAGAGAGAGAGAGAGAGAGUGGUGAUUUCAUCGGGGAAAGAGGAGGCGAUCUCGCCGCGCCGUCGAGCUGGGGAUUUCUCCGCGCCGUCGCGGCGGCGCCGAAGCGACGAGUAGGCGGUUCACUGGUGAGGAGGUCUUCAUCGACGGAGAUGUUGCAUUUGCUAGAUUUGUGGUUUUGUUUUUGUGUUUGAAGCGCCGAUCUGGUGAUUUCUUCUAAGGUUGAUGUGAUGGAAAAAGUUGGAAAUUUGGAGGAAAAGUUUGGAACUAAACGCAGCCGAGCCAGGAGUUCAAUCUGGUUACUGCAGUUAGAAUCAAAUGAAGCAAUCCAGUGAACAAAGAGGAGCUAGCUCAAUGUCAGGAGGAGCUUGGCUGUUUGAAACAAUCGGGGGAUGCAAGGGGUGGAUUCAUAAGGUCGAGUUGUUUCAAAUCUGUUGACAAAAAAAUGCCGCACAAAAUCGUUAGGUGAAAUUGAUGUUCUGAUUAAUUUUCAAGUUCCCAUAUCAGUUAGUUUUGAAUUGGAGAAAUUCAGAAAUUUAAAGUUACUUCAUGUUUGAUAUCUGAAUUAUCACUGCAGUACUCUAGCUCUGAAUCUUGAAGCUGUCAUGUUGUCUAAAAUUUAACAAAUUUUAAAAUUGUCAUGGUGUUCUGACACUUGAAUUAUCACUGCAGUAUUCUAUUUAUUAGACUUGAAGUUGUAUAAUUGUAAAAUUCAACCUAUUUUUCUGCAUUACUGAAUCUGAAUUUAUUUUUUUUGCCUUCAGUUACAUGGUUGUAACAUUGUAAUUACAGUAUUUUUCUACGUAAAUAUAGUACAAAUGAACUAUAAUUUUUUGUGUAUACUAGGAUGAAAGUAGGAAUUAACUGUGCUAACUUUGUGCUAUUUGGUCAUAUGUUAAGACUCCUCUUUUGACCUGUUCUAUAUAAUUUUUAACUCCUUUGAACAAUCAAUCAAUCAUUUUUAACUUUCAAGUUAUUAUUUUGCGUUUGAUUUAAUUUUUAUAUAAUGAAACAUAAUAAAAUACUUGGUAAUUUCUUGAUUGCUUUCAAUUCCUGUCCUUUUUUGGUUGAAUCUGUAAGGAACCCAAAAUUGAAAUUGUAGAACAUUAGUGCAAAAAUCAUAACUGAAUCAGAAUAUUUCUGUACACUUAAAAUAAUUUGAAGAUCCAAAUUUCUAUUUAUGCAUGUAGAUUUUAAAUUGAAAAUUAUGAUCCAGAUUAAGAUAAAUCUAUACAGAAUAACAUUUUUUACUUUUUACCUGAAUUUGAUUGUUUCAGGAUGAAAAGCUUUUGAAGUUUUAAAGAUUACAGUUGAAGAAUAUCUUACCUCUUGAUGUAUUUCCUGAUUGGAAUUGCUUUUCAUCACCCAUCUUUAGAACAUUUGAUGUUUUCAAAUUCUUCUCUUUUAAUCUUGAAUAUAAAAGCAUUUCAAUUAAAUAUGUACAGAUUUUGCACUAGUAAUCAUAAUCAUAAUUAAAAUCGUGGCUCCAUUUACAUGAUUUUAAUAUUGAAAUUACAGUAUUUUUUCUAUGUAAAUAUAGUAGAAAUGCACUGUAAUUUUUGUGCGUGUGUACUAGGAAGGGAUUAGGAACUAAUUGUGCAAACUUUGUGCUAUUUUGUGACAAUUUAACAAUAUUUGUGGAUUAUUCUAUAUGAUUAGUUUGAAUUUGUAACUUCGUGAAUCUAAAUGCUUUCAAAUUUGAAAACUGCAUAGUAUUAGUGCAAGAAUCAAAGAAUAUUAUUCCAACAUUGAACAUGUAGUUUAUUUAUUUUCACACAAAUCAUCUAAUUUAUUUUUGUAGAUAAACUGGAGUAUAUUUUUGCUAUUAAUCUCACACGUCCAAUUUGCAAAUUUGCUCCAACAAACUGACAUGGCACAAACUUUGAAUUGAAGUUAUUUAUUUUUCUUGUUGGCAUAAUUGUUCCAUAGGAAUGGUUUCAAUAUUUUUUUGAUAUUUAGUUGCUCUGCAGUAAUAUGUCUCAAUUUUGAAUUACUGAUUGAGUUGUGAUCUUAAUUCUGAAUUUGUUGUUAAUUACUUUGGUCUGCAAUAAUAUGCAGUUCAAAAUUCAUAUGCCAUAAUGUUGUUCAACCUAAGAACACACAUGACAAUUGAAUCUUAAGAUAAUAUGGUCUGUGAUGUUUCUAUAAAGUCUUAAUUCUACAAGAUGUCAGUUACAUAUUUUUAGUAUUGAAAUUACAAUGUUUGUUUUAUGUAAUUCUUAUACAAAAUAACUGUAAUUUAAGAAAAAAAAUUGAAUGCUAUUGAAUCUUCUCAUUUUGUGAAGCAUUGUGCUUGAUUUGAAUGGUUUAUGGAAUCAAAUUUAAUAAUACAUGUGAGUAUUGAAAUUUGUACUAUGCAAUGAAAUGCAAAUUCAAAUUUAGAAUUCUUUGAAGAGCAAAAAAAGGAUUCUAAAGGUGUAUUUGAUAGAUGCCUAAGGAUGCUAGAUUGCAAUCUAAGAGUUUCCUGACAGUUGUCCUGUAGCUAGUCAAAAUGUUAGCUUAAGACAUUUGUCCUCUUUAUUGUGACUAUCUAUGUCUCUCACAUUGAUCAGCAAGUGAGUAAUGUAAAGAGAGUGGUGUAUUUG